rnacentral:rRNA from 1 species
AGCUAGAGUUUGAUAGAGGAAAGCAGAAUUUCUAGUGUAGAGGUGAAAUUCGUAGAUAUUAGAAAGAAUACCAAUUGCGAAGGCAGCUUUCUGGAUCAAUACUGACACUGAGGAACGAAAGCAUGGGUAGCGAAGAGGAUUAGAUACCCUCGUAGUCCAUGCCGUAAACGAUGUGUGUUAGACGUUGGAAAUUUAUUUUCAGUGUCGCAGCGAAAGCAAUAAACACACCGCCUGGGGAGUACGACCGCAAGGUUAAAACUCAAAUGAAUUGACGGGGACCCGCACAAGUAGUGGAGCAUGUGGUUUAAUUCGAAGAUACGCGCAGAACCUUACCAACACUUGACAUGUUCGUCGCGACUUUAAGAGAUUAAAGUUUUCGGUUCGGCCGGACGAAACACAGGUGCUGCAUGGCUGUCGUCAGCUCGUGUCGUGAGAUGUUGGGUUAAGUCCCGCAACGAGCGCAACCCUCACUUUUAGUUGCCAUCAUUAAGUUGGGCACUCUGAAAGAACUGCCAGUGAUAAGCUGGAGGAAGGUGGGGAUGACGUCAAGUCCUCAUGGCCCUUACGUGUUGGGCUACACACGUGCUACAAUGGUAUUUACAACAGGAAGCAAGACGGCGACGUUAAGCAAAUCCUUAAAAAAUACCUCAGUUCGGAUUGCACUCUGCAACUCGAGUGCAUGAAGCUGGAAUUACUAGUAAUCGUGGAUCAGCGUGCCACGGUGAAUGCGUUCCCGGGUCUUGUACACACCGCCCGUCACACCAUGGGAGUUGGUUCUACCUUAAGGCAAGGUUUAAAACCCUUGACCACGGUAUAGUCAGCGACUGGGGUGAAGUCGUAACAAGGUAACCGUA